UACGGAAGGGGCAAGCGUUGUUCGGAAUCAUUGGGCGUAAAGGGCGCGCAGGUGGCUCUGUAUGUCUCCGUGAAAGCAUACAGCUCAACUGUAUUGUGUCGGUAGAAACUGCAGGACUUGAGGCUGGGAGGGGCUGGUGGAAUUCCCUGUGUAGCGGUGAAAUGCGUAGAGAUGGGGGAGAACACUCGUGGCGAAGGCGGCCAGCUAGACCAGUUCUGACACUGAGGCGCGACAGCGUGGGGAGCAAACAGG
rnacentral:rRNA from 1 species